rnacentral:lncRNA from 1 species
GUAAUCGAAAUGUACGAGUGGUUUAAUGAACCUAAAUGCAUUUCAAUGGUCCUGGAGUACCCCAAGCCUUGUGUAGUCCUGACUGACUUUGUAAGCAAGAAGGGCAAGCUGGCCGAACCUGUGGCACGAUGCCUAGUGCAACAAAUAGUCCUGGCAGUCCAGCAUUGCAUCGACAAAGGAAUCGUGCACAACGACCUGCAUUCUGACAACAUCCUGGUCAACAAGAAGACUAUGCAGAUCAAGCUGAUCGACUUCGGCUGCGCUUACAAAGUGGAAGCACACAACUACGAUAAAGCAGUCUUAUCUAGCGCCUGGGCUAUAGGCUGCCUGCUGCAUUACAUGAUGACCGGAGACUUGGUCAACUACUUCGAUGUUAAAGUCAAGGGCAAGAUUUCGCUUCCACCCAGCUUAAUGAGAGACUGCCGAGAUCUGAUCACAAAGUGUCUGAGACAAAACAUGACGCUUGAUCAGUUCUUACAACACGACUGGAUGAAGAGAGCGUAGAAUGAAGACGAGACACGAUACAGAUGAAGAAAGCAGCAAGGUCUUCUGCAGAAAAUUAACAAAACAUUUCUAUAAAAAAACUCAUAAAAACCAACACAAACGUCAUAAAGAAGCCAAGAAGAACCCACAUCUAACUGAUCCAGAACCAGAGCCUGAUCCAGAGUCUGUCCUGAGACCCAAACACUGCAGGAUCAGCGUCGUCAUCAGUGCCAGGAAACUGCCUCUUCUGUGCAGGCAGAAAUGGAAACCCGUGAUGGACUCUGAGGAUGUGGAUGGUUAAAUCUGAGUGCAUUUUGAGGAGGACGUGUUGUUCCUCUAGAGGAUGAGGAUGAAGAAACACCAGCACCAGAACAAAGCAUUGGGUCAGGUUUAUAUGAUAAGCAGAAGGUUUAAAACAAUAAUGAAUUACAAAACUGUUAAAAAAUGAGCAAGCAUUACUAAUCUGGCAAAUAAAUCCCCUGAACACAAAUGAAGAGAACUUUAGAUGAAAUCAGAGAGCUCCCUCAUCCUUCAUGGACAGCAACAGCCCCAAGUUGCUCAGAAACAAAGUCCAGAA